UAAGCCAGCUUGACUGCGAGCGUGACGGCGCGAGCAGGUGCGAAAGCAGGUCAUAGUGAUCCGGUGGUUCUGAAUGGAAGGGCCAUCGCUCAACGGAUAAAAGGUACUCCGGGGAUAACAGGCUGAUACCGCCCAAGAGUUCAUAUCGACGGCGGUGUUUGGCACCUCGAUGUCGGCUCAUCACAUCCUGGGGCUGAAGUAGGUCCCAAGGGUAUGGCUGUUCGCCAUUUAAAGUGGUACGCGAGCUGGGUUUAGAACGUCGUGAGACAGUUCGGUCCCUAUCUGCCGUGGGCGCUGGAGAACUGAGGGGGGCUGCUCCUAGUACGAGAGGACCGGAGUGGACGCAUCACUGGUGUUCGGGUUGUCAUGCCAAUGGCACUGCCCGGUAGCUAAAUGCGGAAGAGAUAAGUGCUGAAAGCAUCUAAGCACGAAACUUGCC
rnacentral:rRNA from 1 species